rnacentral:rRNA from 1 species
GGAUUCCCCUAGUAACUGCGAGUGAAGCGGGAAAAGCUCAAAUUUAAAAUCUGGCGUUCUUAGGGCGUCCGAGUUGUAGUCUGGAGAAGCGUCUUCCGUGCUGGACCAUGCAUAAAUCUCUUGGAACAGAGUAUCAUAGUGGGUGAGAAUCCCGUCUUUGGCAUGGACUACCAGUGCUCUGUGAUGCGCUCUCAAAGAGUCGCGUUGUUUGGGAAUGCAGCGCAAAAUGGGUGGUAAAUUCCAUCUAAAGCUAAAUAUUGGCGAGAGACCGAUAGCGAACAAGUACCGUGAGGGAAAGAUGAAAAGCACUUUGGAAAGAGAGUUAAACAGUACGUGAAAUUGUUGAAAGGGAAACGCUUGAAGUCAGUCGCGUCGUGCGGGACUCAGCCUUGCUUUUGCUUGGUGUAUUUCCUGUACGACGGGCCAGCAUCAAUUUUGACCGUCGGAAAAAGUUCAGGGGAAGGUGGCACCUCCGGGUGUGUUAUAGCCCUUGUUCGCAUACGACGGUUGGGAUUGAGGUUCGCAGCACGCCUUUUGGCCGGGGUUCGCCCACGUACGUGCUUAGGAUGCUGGCGUAAUGGCUUUAAACGACCCGUCUUGAAACACGGACCAAGGAGUCUAACAUGCCUGCGAGUGUUUGGGUGUAAAACCCAUCCGCGUAAUGAAAGUGAAAGUUGAGAUCUCUGUCAUGGAGAGCAUCGACGCCCGGUCUUGCGCUUUGGCAACGGAUCUGAGGUUGAGCAUGUAUGUUGGGACCCGAAAGAUGGUGAACUAUGCCUGAAUAGGGUGAAGCCAGAGGAAACUCUGGUGGAGGCUCGUAGCGAUUCUGACGUGCAAAUCGAUCGUCAAAUUUGG